rnacentral:rRNA from 1 species
CCUACGGGAGGCAGCAGUGAGGAAUAUUGGUCAAUGGACGGAAGUCUGAACCAGCCAUGCCGCGUGCAGGAAGACGGCUCUAUGAGUUGUAAACUGCUUUUGUACAAGGGUAAACCUGAAUACGUGUAUUCAGCUGAAAGUACUGUACGAAUAAGGAUCGGCUAACUCCGUGCCAGCAGCCGCGGUAAUACGGAGGAUCCAAGCGUUAUCCGGAUUUAUUGGGUUUAAAGGGUGCGUAGGCGGAUUGAUAAGUUAGAGGUGAAAUGGCCGAGCUUAACUCGGGAACUGCCUUUAAUACUGGUGAACUAGAGGGUAGGAGCGGUAGGCGGAAUGUAAGGUGUAGCGGUGAAAUGCUUAGAGAUCAUACAGAACACCGAUUGCGAAGGCAGCUUACCAAUCUAUAUCUGACGUUGAGGCACGAAAGCGUGGGGAGCAAACAGGAUUAGAUACCCCGGUAGUC